rnacentral:rRNA from 2 species
GACGAACGCUGGCGGUGUGCUUAACACAUGCAAGUCGAACGGUAAGGCCCUUUCGGGGGUACACGAGUGGCGAACGGGUGAGUAACACGUGAGUAACCUGCCCUCAUCUCUGGGAUAACAGUCGGAAACGGUUGCUAAUACUGGAUAUGAGCUUGCAAGGCAUCUUGUGGGUUGGAAAGAUAUUUCUUGGUUGGGGAUGGACUCGCGGCCUAUCAGCUUGUUGGUGAGGUAGUGGCUCACCAAGGCUUCGACGGGUAGCCGGCCUGAGAGGGCGACCGGCCACAUUGGGACUGAGAUACGGCCCAGACUCCUACGGGAGGCAGCAGUGGGGAAUAUUGCACAAUGGACGGAAGUCUGAUGCAGCAACGCCGCGUGCGGGAUGACGGCCUUCGGGUUGUAAACCGCUUUCAAUUGUGACGAA